CGCGAGUAUUCUAGAGUUUGAUCCUGGCUCAGAACGAACGACUGCGGCAUGCCUAAUACAUGCAAGUCGAACGAUCACUUCGGUGAUAGUGGCGCACGGGUGCGUAACGCGUGGGAAUCUGCCCUUGGGUUCGGAAUAACAUCUGGAAACGGAUGCUAAUACCGGAUGAUGACGUAAGUCCAAAGAUUUAUCGCCCAGGGAUGAGCCCGCGUAGGAUUAGCUAGUUGGUGGGGUAAAGGCCUACCAAGGCGACGAUCCUUAGCUGGUCUGAGAGGAUGAUCAGCCACACUGGGACUGAGACACGGCCCAG
rnacentral:rRNA from 1 species